AACUUUCAGCAACGGAUCUCUUGGCUCUCGCAUCGAUGAAGAACGCAGCGAAAUGCGAUAAGUAAUGUGAAUUGCAGAAUUCAGUGAAUCAUCGAAUCUUUGAACGCACCUUGCACUCCUUGGUAUUCCGAGGAGUAUGCCUGUUUGAGUGUC
rnacentral:rRNA from 1 species